rnacentral:rRNA from 1 species
AUUGAACGCUGGCGGCAGGCCUAACACAUGCAAGUCGAGCGGAUGAAGGGAGCUUGCUCCUGGAUUCAGCGGCGGACGGGUGAGUAAUGCCUAGGAAUCUGCCUGGUAGUGGGGGAUAACGUCCGGAAACGGGCGCUAAUACCGCAUACGUCCUGAGGGAGAAAGUGGGGGAUCUUCGGACCUCACGCUAUCAGAUGAGCCUAGGUCGGAUUAGCUAGUUGGUGGGGUAAAGGCCUACCAAGGCGACGAUCCGUAACUGGUCUGAGAGGAUGAUCAGUCACACUGGAACUGGGACACGGUCCAGACUCCUACGGGAGGCAGCAGUGGGGAAUAUUGGACAAUGGGCGGAAGCCUGAUCCAGCCAUGCCGCGUGUGUGAAGAAGGUCUUCGGAUUGUAAAGCACUUUAAGUUGGGAGGAAGGGCAGUAAGUUAAUACCUUGCUGUUUUGACGUUACCAACAGAAUAAGCACCGGCUAACUUCGUG